rnacentral:rRNA from 1 species
GACGAACGCUGGCGGCGUGCUUAACACAUGCAAGUCGAACGGUAAGGCCCUUCGGGGUACACGAGUGGCGAACGGGUGAGUAACACGUGGGUGAUCUGCCCUGCACUUCGGGAUAAGCCUGGGAAACUGGGUCUAAUACCGGAUAGGACCACUGCCUGCAUGGGUGGUGGUGGAAAGCUUUUGCGGUGUGGGAUGGGCCCGCGGCCUAUCAGCUUGUUGGUGGGGUGAUGGCCUACCAAGGCGACGACGGGUAGCCGGCCGGAGAGGGUGACCGGCGACACUGGGACUGAGAUACGGCCCAGACUCCUACGGGAGGCAGCAGUGGGGAAUAUUGCACAAUGGGCGCAAGCCUGAUGCAGCGACGCCGCGUGAGGGAUGACGGCCUUCGGGUUGUAAACCUCUUUCAGCACCGACGAAGCGCAAGUGACGGUAGGUGCAGAAGAAGGACCGGCCAACUACGUGCCAGCCGCCGCAGUAA